rnacentral:rRNA from 1 species
AGGAUGAACGCUGGCGGCGUGCUUAACACAUGCAAGUCGAACGAUGAAGCCGGAGCUUGCUCUGGUGGAUUAGUGGCGAACGGGUGAGUAACACGUGAGUAACCUGCCCUUGACUCUGGGAUAAGCACUGGAAACGGUGUCUAAUACCGGAUACGAACUUCGACGGCAUCGUCAGGAGUUGGAAAGAAUUUCGGUCAAGGAUGGACUCGCGGCCCAUCAGCUAGUUGGUGAGGUAACGGCCCACCAAGGCGACGACGGGUA